rnacentral:rRNA from 1 species
CCUACGUGUGGCAGCAGUGAGGAAUAUUGGUCAAUGGACGAGAGUCUGAACCAGCCAAGUAGCGUGAAGGAUGACUGCCCUAUGGGUUGUACACUUCUUUUAUAUGGGAAUAAAAUGUUCCACGUGUGGGAUUUUGUAUGUACCAUAUGAAUAAGGAUCGGCUAACUCCGUGCCAGCAGCCGCGGUAAUACGGAGGAUCCGAGCGUUAUCCGGAUUUAUUGGGUUUAAAGGGGGCGUAGGUGGAUUGUUAAGGCAGUUGUGAAAGUUUGCGGCUCAACCGUAAAAUUGCAGUUGAAACUGGCAGUCUUGAGUACAGUAGAGGUGGGCGGAAUUCGUGGUGUAGCGGUGAAAUGCUUAGAUAUCACGAAGAACUCCGAUUGCGAAGGCAGCUCACUGGACUGCAACUGACACUGAUGCUCGAAAGUGUGGGUAGCAAACAGGAUUAGAUACCCGGGUAGUC